UACAGAGGGUGCGAGCGUUGUUCGGAAUUACUGGGCGUAAAGCGCACGUAGGCGGAUUGUUAAGUCAGGGGUGAAAUCCCGGGGCUCAACCCCGGAACUGCCUUUGAUACUGGCAUUCUCGAGUCCGGAAGAGGUGAGUGGAACUCCUAGUGUAGAGGUGGAAUUCGUAGAUAUUAGGAAGAACACCAGUGGCGAAGGCGGCUCACUGGUCCGGUACUGACGCUGAGGUGCGAAAGCGUGGGGAGCAAACAGG
rnacentral:rRNA from 1 species